UGCAGAGGGGGCCAGCGUUAUUCGGAAUUAUUGGGCGUAAAGGGCGCGUAGACGGCUUUGCGUGUCUUUCGUGAAAUCCCUCGGCUCAACUGAGGACGUGCGGAAGAAACUGCAGGGCUGGAGUGCGGAAGAGGCGAGUGGAAUUCCUGGUGUAGCGGUGAAAUGCGCAGAUAUCAGGAGGAACACCAAUUGCGAAGGCAGCUCGCUGGGACGUUACUGACGCUGAGACGCGAAAGCGUGGGGAGCAAACAGG
rnacentral:rRNA from 1 species